rnacentral:rRNA from 1 species
UACGUAGGGUGCAAGCGUUGUCCGGAAUUAUUGGGCGUAAAGAGCUCGUAGGCGGUCUGUCGCGUCUGCUGUGAAAAUCAGGGCUCAACCCUGGACCUGCAGUGGGUACGGGCAGACUAGAGUGCGGUAGGGGAGAUCGGAAUUCCUGGUGUAGCGGUGAAAUGCGCAGAAUAUCAGGAGGAACACCGGUGGCGAAGGCGGAUCUCUGGGCCGUAACUGACGCUGGAGGAGCGAAAGCAUGGGGAGCGAACAGGA